rnacentral:rRNA from 1 species
AAUGAACGCUGGCGGCAUGCCUUACACAUGCAAGUCGAACGGCAGCGGACCUUCGGGUGCCGGCGAGUGGCGAACGGGUGAGUAAAGUAUCGGAACGUACCUUUCAGUGGGGGAUAACGUAGCGAAAGUUACGCUAAUACCGCAUAUUCUGUGAGCAGGAAAGCAGGGGAUCGCAAGACCUUGCGCUGAUUGAGCGGCCGAUAUCAGAUUAGCUAGUUGGUGAGGUAAAAGCUCACCAAGGCGACGAUCUGUAGCGGGUCUGAGAGGAUGAGCCGCCACACUGGAACUGAGACACGGUCCAGACUCCUACGGGAGGCAGCAGUGGGGAAUUUUGGACAAUGGGGGCAACCCUGAUCCAGCCAUGCCGCGUGAGUGAAGAAGGCCUUCGGGUUGUAAAGCUCUUUCGUCCGGGAAGAAAUCGCAUCAGCUAAUACCUGGUGUGGAUGACGGUACCGGAAUAAGAAGCACGGGCUAACUACGUGCCAGCCGCCGCCGUAA